CCAAACGCCGGCAUCCCUGUCCUUGCUUGUACACGCUCUGCGGUUGAAGCUGGCUGUGAAGUGGAGGGACCAGGUGUCCAGCAGUCGCUUAGAUCACCUGCCCUUGGCACUGAAGACACGUCUGUACUCGUCCGAGGGGCUAAUGUGGGAUGUGCAGAAGACAGGAGUAGGGUUAAAGUGAAAGGAGAAGCGAGAAAGGGGAGAGGAGCCCCUGUGGUCCUGAUGACUUUACAUGUUCCAUGUCUGCCUUCCAACCUCGGACAAACAGGAACUGGGAACUCGCUGCUGCCUUCCUGUCCCCUGCACCUGCCUGGAACGCCCUUCCUGCCAGCGUGGCAUUCUGUAACCCUCCUGUCCUGCCAGGCCGCACGUUUUACCUCCACGACCACAGUGUGCUGUUCAUCACCAAGAAUGAACACUCACCUAAACUGUGGACUUUCGG
ensembl:lncRNA